AGAUCUGAAUGAUGAUGUGUCCGAGCAACUGAUGAACAACAGUGGAUUUGCCUUCAAUGAAAAAAGACAGACAGCUUACGUUUUCAACCAAGCAGCAUUUAAUGCAUUCCUGGAGAGAAACAACUUAACACAUGUGGUGCGAGCACAUGAAGUUAAGCAGGCCGGCUUUGAGAUCCAGCAGAGUGGGCGGCUAAUGACAGUUUUCUCAUCGUCACAUUACUGUGGAGGAAGUAACGAAGCAGCCUGCAUACUGGUGCAUAACUACCGGAUGAGAAUUAUUAGGAUUGAUACAUCCUAACUGGAGAACUGGUUGAUGAAGUUUGUUUACAUGUUAAUUACUCAGCCUAAGAACACCUUUUUUUGGUGUGGAGUAACAUUAUUUUGCAAAGAUAUUGUACAGUCCUUUUGUAAAGAGUUUUAUGAUUACUGGCACAUAGUAAAAAAUUCAAAGAUCAAAGUAACUACUCAGGUAGAGUAUAUAUAUUUAUACGAAGUGUAAAAGCAACCCUUAUUAUUUAUUGCAUAGAUUUCCUGUUUAUUAUUCUGUGGUGCAAUUUACAAGUAAUUUCUUGUCCUUUAUUGAAUAUGAAUUAUUUUAAAGCUUUAGCUAGUCAUUCAUGAAGAAUUUCUUAAAAGUAACCUCAUUUGCAUACCAAUGCUGCUUUCAUUACCUUUUUCUCUUUCUUUCCUGUUACCAUAUUUCUCCACUUCAAAUUUUAAGGAAAGCAUAUAUGCUAGCAGUGUAUUAUUAUUUGUUGUUUUUUGUAUUGUCAUUAAUAUCUUACAUGUUCCAUCCAUCUUGUGCUUUUUGCCUCAGAUUGUACAAAAUCAGAUACCAUGCCAUUACUUAGUUACAAGUUAAAGUUUACUAGUCCGGCAAACUUAGGACUAGAAAGGUGCCUGAGUAGAAGAUUUUUUAAUUCAGUAAAGCUAAGGUAAAAAGCUAAAUAAAGCAUUGUGCAAAGCACUGUUGAUACCAAUAUAAUUAAGUCAUAAACUAGCUCAGACUUACUGGACUCUUGUAUGACAAAGUGUUAGUCCCUUUGGCACAAGUUUACUCAAUACUGUAACACAGUUGGUUCAUGCAAAGUAAUGACUCCCAAACUCAAAUCACUGUCCUGAACCAUGGAAACUGAAUGCCAGUACAUGUGGGACUAUUGGGGGGCAACCUGUACCUGUUUUUUCUCUCUAAAUGUCACCCACUUUCAUCUAUAGAAUGAUCUGAACUUAUUACAAUUUUUUCACAAUACAGUAGAUGAAGAUGGUCUGAGUUUUGUUGAAAAUGCAAAGUUGUGUUUAAAGGACAUGUGCUUUGAAUGUCAAGGUUUUAAUAUGUAAGAAUCAGUUUCAUCCCAUUUCCCAAAGAGGGAAAUGGAAUGAAAAAAACACGUGUGGAAAGCAAUAAAUUUUCAUAUAACAGCAGUUUUUGUAUAAGAAAAUGGUGAAACAUUGAAAAUAUUACUAUAUUUUUUAGUAUUUUUAUUUUGCUUAAAUGUUUAUGAAUAAGUCACAAGGAGAAAGUAAUCUAAAAUGCCAAAGGAAUUGUUAGACUGUAAAAUAAGUGAAAGAAAAUGAUGUACAAAGUUGUACAGACUCAGACAGCAUGAUCUAACAAUCAUUUUAAACCAGUCCUGUGAUAAUUGGUGGUUAGAUUUAGUUACAUAUUAGUGAAUUUUGUUUUUAUUCUGUAGAAUUUUAGUCAUGUCCUAUAUAUUCUCUUGCGUAAUUGAUAGAGCAAGAUCUUUAAUACUGAACAAUAGGCAGAAAUAUACACUGUUGCAUAUACUUUUUGUUGUUGUUUCAGAAUGUAUUUUUUUAGUUACAUUUAGUUUGUGUUAGAAGCAAAAAUGUCUUGCCAGAAUACUAGAUCAGAAUUAUUUAUCAAUGUGUUUUCGGCAUAAUUGAUGCAUUAUUUGUAUCCUUAUUAUGGUUUAUAAGAACAUCAAUCUGUUGAACAUGUUACGUAUUUUUUAUGAUUUACAGAUCCUUGAGACAAAGAAUACACCCAAUUGUAUUUUUAUCAUGUAAAGGAUCCUUACUGCAGAGGUUACAGUAAUUUGUAUGAUAUAUUUGAGUUUAAGAGUAAAUGUACACAAGGAAGUUGUAUUGAAUAAUAUCCUUCUUUCAAAACAAUAA